rnacentral:lncRNA from 1 species
UCCACUUUCUGGUGCAACUCGACUUCCAGAACAAGCGCUCCGUAGUUUUGGCUGUCCAGUAUUCGAGUUAUAGAACGAGGUGGUUGGCGGUGGUUGGAAGUAGAUGGAGGUAGACGAGAAGGAGGACGAGAAGGACAAGGAUUUGUGCGCGGUAUGACCCGAGGUGGUUGGCAGUGUCGUUGGAGG